UUACCCACUAACAAGGCAACGACAACGACGAAUUACAAUCCUAAGUUAACAUAGAUCAUUCAAUGUAUGAUGGCUUACCUCAUGCAAUUCCAGCUUCCUGCACAAUUAGUAUACCACUGGCCUCUCGAUCACAUGCUAAGGUUUCUAGCACAAACUACCAUAGAUAUCCCCAGGACCCGCAUACCUUCUACUGUGCUCCUUCCAAUCACGACCCCAUCAUCUUGCUCCUAUUAUCUCCUUCCUCCAUGUAAUCAAUCAUCUCAACUCAAAAAAAAAAAAAAAAAAAAAAAAAAAAAAUUGUUAGACAACGUCUCUAAGAUCGGC
rnacentral:lncRNA from 1 species